rnacentral:tRNA from 1 species
GCUUUUAUAUAGCAUGUAUUUUCUUAUAUAUAUGCUGAUUUUUUGUUUCGGUGUAAUUCGUAAUCAGUAGGUCGGGGGUUCAAAUCCCCCUGGGAGCUCCA